rnacentral:rRNA from 1 species
CCUACGGGAGGCAGCAGUAGGGAAUUUUCGGCAAUGGGGGGAACCCUGACCGAGCAACGCCGCGUGAACGAAGAAGUUAUUCGUAAUGUAAAGUUCUUUUAACAGGGAAGAAAGAGAAAUUUGACGGUACCUGAAGAAUAAGCUCCGGCUAACUACGUGCCAGCAGCCGCGGUAAUACGUAGGGAGCGAGCGUUAUCCGGAAUUAUUGGGCGUAAAGGGUGCGUAGAUGGCAUAGUAAGUCUUUUGUAAAAAUGCUGGGCUCAACCCAGUAGGGCAAAAGAUACUGCAAAGCUAGAGUAUGACAGAGGCAAGUGGAACUACAUGUGUAGCGGUAAAAUGCGUAAAUAUAUGUAAGAACACCAGUGGCGAAGGCGGCUUGCUGGGUCGAUACUGACAUUGAGGCACGAAAGCGUGGGGAGCAAACAGGAUUAGAUACCCCAGUAGUC